GGGUUUAACUGUCUCCUUCCCCUAGUCAAUGAAAUUGAUCUGCCCGUGCAGAAGCGGACAUAAAUACAUAAGACGAGAAGACCCUAUGGAGCUUUAGACAAAAGAUCAAACAUGUAAAGAAACCAAGUUAACCAAAAGGAACACAAAGGCCACGAAACCCGACGUAAACUGAUCCAAAUGUCUUCGGUUGGGGCGACCAUGGGGGAGAAAAAAGCCCCCACGAGGAACAGGGACUAAUCCCUAAGCCAAGAGAGACAUCUCUAAGCAACAGAAAAUCUGACCAAAAGUGACCCAGAAUACUAAUUCUGAUCAACGAACCAAGUUACCCUAGGGAUAACAGCGCAAUCCUUUCCCAGAGUCCAUAUCGACGAAAGGGUUUACGACCUCGAUGUUGGAUCAGGACAUCCUAAUGG
rnacentral:rRNA from 1 species